rfam:Candidatus Endomicrobium sp. Rsa215, complete genome.
GGGCCUGUAGCUCAGUUGGUUAGAGCACUCGACUCAUAAUCGAAUGGUCGUAGGUUCAAGUCCUACCAGGCCCA